UAAAGGAGCAGCGUGAUCGCCGU
rnacentral:siRNA from 1 species